rnacentral:rRNA from 1 species
GACGAACGCUGGCGGCGUGCCUAAUACAUGCAAGUCGAACGCAGUGGGGACGGGUGAGUAACACGUGGGUAACCUCCCCUCAGAGGGGAUAACGCUUGGAAACAGGUGCUAAACCGAUACUGAUGGAUGGACCCGCGGUGCAUUAGCUAGUUGGUGAGGUAACGGCGCACCAAGGCCACGAUGCAUAGCCGACCUGAGCGGGUGAUGGGACAACCGGGGACUGAGACACGGCCCAGACUCCUACGGGAGGCGGCGGUAGGGAAUCGUCGGCAAUGGACGAAAGUCUGACCGAGCAACGCCGCGUGAUUGAAGAAGGUUUUCGGAUCGUAAAACUCUGUUGUUAGAGAAGCGGGAUCUAACCAGAAAGCCACGGCUAACUACGUGCCAGCCGCCGCGGUAAUAA